CAAUAAGUGUUCAAUGGCACUUUAAAAUCCAUUACCCACCUUGUGUGCAAUGUAAGGAGGAGGGGGUUUGUCCAGACUUUUUUGGUCUGGUUUCCCCUCUUUCAUUAUACAUACCAAAUCUUCUCUUGAUGUCUACUUUUUGAGUAUAAAAAACUCGAAUA
rnacentral:misc_RNA from 1 species